AGUAUUUGUUUACCUUGGUAACAAAUCGUUCCUGAGUUGGCCCUCUGAGCAUUUCCUAAGAUAAUCGCCUCCUGUGUUUUUUCCCUGUUGUCAGGUCUACCUGGAUUCCUCCGGAGUUUUCCGAGAGGAGAGUUCUGUGGGUCGUUUGUCCCGGACUCCGACCAGCCGUCAGUUCGCUCCUCCGCUCAGUCUGACUUACCUGUCCGCCCUCCAACGGUUCGUUGCCUCUCCACGCCGCCCCUGGGUCCGUUGUUGCUCCAAAGGAAACAUCCAUCCGCUCCUAUGGCUGAACUGGUUGCCCCUUCCAGACUCCUGCUCCGUGUUUUCUCCCCAACCCUAUUCCCUCUUGUAAAUAAACUUCAUUAUUGUUUUGCA